rnacentral:rRNA from 1 species
AUUGAACGCUGGCGGCAGGCCUAACACAUGCAAGUCGGGCGAGUGGCGGACGGGUGAGUAAUGUUUGUGGAACUGCCUGAUGGAGGGGGAUAACUCCUGGAAACGGUAGCUAAUACCGCAUACCAUCAGAUGCACCCAGAUGGGAUUAGCUCGUAGGUGAGGUAACGCCUCACCUAGGCGACGAUCCCUAGCUGGUCUGAGAGGAUGAUCAGCCACACGGGGACUGAGACACGGCCCAGACUCCUACGUGAGGCAGCAGUGGGGAAUAUUGCACAAUGGGCGCAAGCCUGAUGCAGCCAUGCCGCGUGUAUGAAGAAGGCCUUCGGGUUGUAAAGUACUUUCAGUCGGGAGGCGUUACCUGCAGAAGAAGCACCGGCUAACUCCGUGCCAGCAGCCGCGGUAAUUC